rnacentral:rRNA from 1 species
GUGGGGAAUUUUGGACAAUGGGCGCAAGCCUGAUCCAGCAAUGCCGCGUGCAGGAAGAAGGCCUUCGGGUUGUAAACUGCUUUUGUACGGAACGAAACGGUCCUGGCUAAUAUCCGGGGCUAAUGACGGUACCGUAAGAAUAAGCACCGGCUAACUACGUGCCAGCAGCCGCGGUAAUACGUAGGGUGCAAGCGUUAAUCGGAAUUACUGGGCGUAAAGCGUGCGCAGGCGGUGCUGUAAGACAGGCGUGAAAUCCCCGGGCUUAACCUGGGAAUUGCGCUUGUGACUGCAGUGCUGGAGUGCGGCAGAGGGGGAUGGAAUUCCGCGUGUAGCAGUGAAAUGCGUAGAUAUGCGGAGGAACACCGAUGGCGAAGGCAAUCCCCUGGGCCUGCACUGACGCUCAUGCACGAAAGCGUGGGGAGCAAACAGGAUUAGAUACCCGUGUAGUCC